UCAGGUCCUUUCAACUUCUGCUGUUCUGCAAACUAACUCCUUCACCAGGAACAUUUAAUCAGGUCCUUUCAACUUCUGCUGUUCUGCAAACUAACUCCUUCACCAGGAACAUUUAAUCAAAUUUUCUCAAUUCAACUAUCACUGCCCUGAUGCUCAAAACAUCAUGAGUUUGGAAUGCUCAUCCAUGUAAAUGAUUCGCAAGUUGUUUUUUUUAAUGACUGCCUAUAAUUAUGCAUGAUUAACUUAACUCUUACUAAAUCACUAACACGACUAACCUCACUAACUUAAUCAGUUAUUAUAAAAACCACUUGUUGAGUUUUACAAUGAAUGUCUUGCUGAGAUUGCUUGAAAGACAUCGCUGCAUGAUUAAUCAGGGUAAGCGACAACUUCAAGCCAAGUAGUCUUCAACUCUCAACUUACUCUUGUCUUGAUCAAGACUUAUUCUCCAG